rnacentral:rRNA from 1 species
CCUACGGGAGGCAGCAGUGGGGAAUAUUGGGCAAUGGGCGCAAGCCUGACCCAGCAACGCCGCGUGAAGGAAGAAGGCUUUCGGGUUGUAAACUUCUUUUGUCAGGGACGAAAUAAGUGACACUACCUGCCUAAUAAGCCACGGCUAACUACGUGCCAGGAGCCGCCGCAAUACGUAGGUGGCACACGUUAUCCGGAUUUACUGGGUGUCAAGGACGUAUUGGUGGGACGUGAAGUCAGAUGUGAAAACCACGGGGCGAACCUGUGGCCUGCAUUUGACACUGUAGUUCUUGAGUGCGGGAGAGGGAGGCGGAAUGCCUGGUGUAGCGGUGAAAUGCAUAGAUAUUAGGAAGAACACCGAUGGCGAAGGCAGCCUGCUGGAGAGCAACUGACGCUGAGGCACGAAAGCGUGGGGAGCGAACAGGAUUAGAUACCCGAGUAGUC